rfam:Triticum urartu cultivar G1812 contig418093, whole genome shotgun sequence.
UAUAUACUCCCUCCGUCUAGAAAUACUUGUCAUCAAAAUGGAUAAAAGGGAUGUAUUUAGAUGUAUUUUAGUUUUAGAUACAUCCUUUUUUGUCCAUUUUGAUGACAGGUAUUUUCGGACGGAGGAAGUAUAAU